GCAAUGUAGCCCAGCCUCGCCUUGAACUCCAGGAGUCCCUGUCUCAGCUGGCCAAAUGCUGGGACUGCUGUUUAUGAUUUGAAGUUUUCGACAUUAAUUUUAUAUCCCCUAACCGAUCUGUUUAAUCCCUAAAAAACACAAAAACUAAGAGUGGAACCAAGGCUCUGUGGGAGUGAGGCUCGUAACAGGAGGCCCCGCCAGCCGCUGAUCCACCUUAAGAAGCCUCAGCCUCUCUCUGCUCCGCGCAGACUGUGGCUCCUCCCACCCCCGUGUCAGCUACGGUCUGGGAACGUGGAGGAGGGAGGAGAGAAGCGCUGAAUGGAAAGAUUGGCGCGAGCGCUGAGCAUCUUGGUCCCCCAGUCUACCGGCCCGGGCAGCAGCGUACCAGGGAAGGACGAAAUUGAUUGAAACCCGGAAAUGAGUGUAAAUGGAACUGAAGGAAAACGAGGGAAAUUCGCAGCACCUUUAUACCCCGCACACCAGCUCAUUUCCUGAUAUUCUAGACCAGAUGACAUAAAAGUGCAAACCAAAGUGCUCCUACUGCUUUUAAUGUACUUGUCAUUCCAGUAAUUGAGAAGCAAGAAGAGGAGCAGAUUUGUUAUUUGCAAGAAGAAAAAUGCAACGGACAAAUGAUUACUAGUCUAUAAAAUCCAAGCAUGGUAAAGAUGUUGCUUAUACCAAAAGAGAGGACUGAUGUUAACAUUUUCCAGAAUUUUAAGAAGUCUUUAAGAAAGGAUGCAUUCUGUUGCUAGUAAUGUUAAAUAAGCAUACAAAUAUUAUUUUUGGUCAGUAAUUUAUCCCCUACCCUGACUGAUGUGCUUUGAAAUUUUAUUUUAUUUUUCUUCUCCUCCUCCUCCUUUUUCUUUCUUUUUCUUUUUCUCCUUGAAAUAAAAUGGAUUUGUAAAGAAAAAUAAUUCAUCCCCUUGUAGCACUGUCACUUCCCUUGGAUUAUACCAAAUCAGCCAAGGCAGAACUGGUGGGGGGGGGGGGCACUGACAGUGUAGAACCCAGUACCAACUCUAAAGAAAUAGAUUCCUGGUUUUUUUGUUGUUGUUAUUGUUUGGGGGGGGAGGGGGGACAGGGUCUUGCUAUGUAGCCCAGGCUGGCUUCAAACUCACGGCAAUCCUCUGCCUCAAUCUCUCAAGUGCCAGGAUCACAGGUGUGCAUCACCACACCUAGCACUGCUGUUGUUACUAAUCACAGAUCCAAGGCUCUCAGUAUAUAUGUAAAGUAGUGAUUGUUGUUAUUGUGACACUGGGGAUCAAACUCAAGAGCUUCACCAUGCUAAGCAAGCACUGUCAGCUAUUUUGCCAACUCAGGGGGACUAAAAUAGCUACAAGAACUCUGCAGACCACAGAGGAAAGCAACAGGUUACCCUGCAUUUGGAAUUUAUGGAGCUGGAAAGGGAACGCCAAGUAGGGAAGGGCUGGUAGAAGACCAAAGAUACACUGUGCUUACUGUGCACAGAGAUAAAUUUGCCAUGGUUGGUUCCAGAAAAAAUCACCUUAUGUAGAAAAGAUGGUUGCCUGGCAUGGUGACCCACAUUUGUAAUCCCAGCACUCCGGAGGCUGAGGUAGGAGGAUCACUGUGAGUUCAGUUCAAGCCCAGUCUGGGCUACAAAGUGAGUUCCAGGCUAGCCUAAUUGCAUAGCAAAACUGUCUCAGGAAGAUGAAAAGAGAAAAAAGAAGUCUGUAAUUGUGGAUCCUGGCAGGAGACGAUCUUCUUGGUACUCCAGGGAGGGCUCCAUAGAUGAGACCACUAAGGUCGCCACCACCCACCAGAAAGUGAGCGGUGGAGACUGGAUGGCUUGAGCCUGAGAACACACUGGCUGCCUGUCACCUGGACCUGGAGAGCUCCUGUUCUCCACACCUCAGCAGGCAUCAGCAGCCACGGAACUUGUGCCUGGGCACCGGCAGCCCACUGCAUGUGGAGACAAAGGUCACCCAUGGCCACAAGGUGCAUAGUGACAGGAGGGCAGCCAGGAGAAUGGCCUGGCCUCACUUCUACUUUCUCAGACAUUUAUUUUUGUUGGUGGUAGAGGGAGUUCUCUUUUUUUUUUUUUUUUUGAGACAAGGUCUCACUAUGUAAUUCACACUGAUCUUACAUUUACUCUGUACUCCAGACUGGCCUCGACUCACAGUGAUCCUUCUGCCUCAGCCUCCAGAGUGCUAGGAUUACAGACCCACGCCACUAUACCCUUUCAGUCAGUUACUGAUCCAUCCUAAUUUACAUCUAGAGGCCCAACUGCAAAGAAACUUGCAAGACAGUUUUCUGUUUUCCACACUUAGCAGUACAGAAAAGCAUAUGUAGACACAGAGAGAAGACUACUGAGAAGAAUUCCUGGGCGCACACAGAUACUAUAGAAUGAUAAACUCAAGAGUACAUUCAUACCUUAUGACAGAGCCAUUCCAUGCCAACCAGAAAAGUGUUACUCUUUCCAGGUUUCAUCACAGAAUUCAUAUCAAAAUUAUUAAUGAAAUCUAAACAGCAAAAGAAGAACGUGGAUCAGCCAUAUCCACAAAUCUAUAAGAACCACAUUUUAAAUUUUCCUUGCUAACCCAGCAUUGUAAUGCAUGCCUGUGAUCCCAGCACUUGGGAAGCUGAGGCAAGAGGAUUGCCAUGAAUUUGAGUUCAGUGCCAGCCUAAGCUACAAAGUGAGUUCAAAGCCAGCCUGAAUCUGAAUCUCACAGAAAGAUCUUGUCUCAAAAAACAAACCAACCAAAAACACUCGGAAUUUAAGGAUUAAAUAACCAACGUCAAAAUCUAUAGUAUGUUGCCCUUUACUUCCUGGUUGAACACUCUUCCAGUGUGACAGGGUGAGGACACUGAGGUGUUAGCAGCAGGGAAGAAGCACUGUUUGGAGGCCAGCCUGCUUAGGAAUUGCUACACAGUCUUGGAGAAGUUAUUUUGCCACUGGGACUUCACUUACUACUAAUUAAACUUAGUACUAUCAAUGAGCAUUUAAGAAGGAAGAAAAAUAUAGAAGAAACACUUUCUAAAAUGAACAUAUAGCCUUGCAUAUGCCUGUAAUCCCAGUACUUAGUAGGCUGAGGCAAGGAGAUCCCUUGCUACAAGUUCAAGGCCAGCCUGAACUACAUAGUAAGACCCUGUCUCAGAAAAUAAAUAAAAUGAACAAGUAUUGUUUCUUGGGUAACAGGAAUAGAAUUCAAGACCUUGUGCCAGGUAGGUGCUGUGCAGCUGAGGUAUAUCCUUGGACCCAAAAUGAAAGUGUAAAAAAAAAUGUUAUUCGUUAAAAAUUAAGAAAUUUUGCGACUCAUGGUGACAUACACUGAUAAUCCCAGUGCUCUGGGAGACUGAGUCAGGAGAAUGACCAAGUUUGAGUCCAGCCUGCGGAACUUCGUGAUUUAGUGAAACCUUGUCUCUAAAUAAAAAUGUAGUUCAGUGUGAAGAUCUUGGCUUCAAUCCCCAUCACCCCCGCACCCCUGCCCCCACCCCCAAAAAGACAUUAGAUUAAUAGAUUUCGUAGUUGCCUUAUAAUUUCACACAUCUAUUAUUUAACCUUGUAACCUUCUGGUCCAUUUUUUUCCUUGAAGACUAUUAUAAUAAAUUUAAACCUGGAUUACAGCUUAUAGUCUGUACCUAUGCCAGUUGGUCCUAGUCAAUGACCCAGAUUCUUCCCCCAUGCUGGGGAUAGAAACCAAGGCCCAUGCUAGGCAAUGGCUCUGCCACUGAGCUAAAGCCCCUGCAGCCAGCUUUAAGAAGUGCUGUUAGUCUGGUAUUCAUCUUUCAUGCCUUUUUGUUGUUGUUGUUUCAUUUGUUUUGUUUUGGGUUGUUACAGUAUGGGGACUGAACACAGAACCUUGGCACUGGAGCUGCAUCCCAGAUCAUCUGUGUACUGGCUCAUUGAUUUAUUUAUUUGCUGAGAUGAGGUUUCACUAUGUACUUCAGGCUAACUUGAACUCACUAUGUAGCCCAGGCUGGCCCCAAAUUUGCAGUACUCAGGACUAGGGAUAUAGCUCAGUGGCAUAAAUGCCUGCCUGGCUAGUGCAAGGUCCUGAGUUUGAUUUCUGGUACUAAAUUUGCAGUGAUGCUUACCUCAGCUUCCUAAGGGCUGGAGUGACAGGUAUCUGCCACCAGCACUCAAAGCCCGCCCCCCUUCUUUCUUUUUUCUCUCUUUUGGACAUAGACUCACUAAACUGCCCAAUCUGGGCUUGCCUUUGUGAUCCUCCUGCCUCAGCCUCCCAGAGCGCUUGGACUACAGAAAUAGAUGAGUACACUGGCCUCCCUGAAAGGACUGCACUCCUCUGUGUGCCAGCCUGUGUGAGAUACUUCACAGGUUCAGUCCCUGCUUGGGAGACAACACCCUGGACACCGGACUACCGUGGAUCUAUCCCUGAAGGUCCCACCUCCAGGAAGACUGAGGGAGGUGACCCCUCACUCUACCCGUGGGAGUCCCAGGAGGAUGUUAAGCCCCUCCUGACUCGGAAACUGUCUGGAAGCAGACUCCUGCCCCAGCUGUCUUCACAGCUCAGCGCUGUACUCUGGUUUCCCUGUCAGCCUCGUGUCAAGCAGAGUUCCCACGCCAUGACCUCUGCUUCCCGCUGCCUCUUAGACUGUGAACUCCUGAGGGCAGAAAAAUCUCUCAGGUCUCCGUAGCGUCUGCCAGUGCCUAAUGCAGAGGUUAUAAAAUUACUGUUGUUUAAGGUUUUUUUUGUUCUUGUUUUGUUUUGUUUUGUUUUGUUUUGUUUUGUUUUGAGGCAGAGUCUUGCUAUGUAGUUCAAGCUGGUCUUGAACUCACUAAGUACCCCAGGCUGACAUCCAACUGGUGACAGUCUUCCUGCCUCAGCCUCCUGAGUGUGUACAUUUAUAGUAACAUGGAGAAGGCAAACAAGGAUCAGUGUUUUUGUUUUAUGGUAUCUAGGACCUUUAUAUUGCGCUACAUUUACAGUCCUUUUAAAAUAUUUUUUCACUAUUUAAAUUUUGAGACAGGGCUUAGCUAAAUUUGCUACACAGGAGCCAGUUGCAGCCCUGAGAUCUGGGAAGAGAACCAAAAAGAAAGCCAACCCCUUCCUGUGAGCCAGUGGCGGUGUGGGCCAGGCUACCCCCUUCCUGUGGGACUGAGAGACAGGAGGUACCAAUCCCCAUUGUUGAUUUCCUGUUACCUUGUUUUGAAGUCCUGCAUCACUUUCACUGUUUUGUUUUCAUUGGCUUUAUUCUGUUUUAUUUUGUUUCAUUUUAUUCUGUUAAAAAUAGAAACAAAUAAAUUUGUUCAAUUGCCUGGGCAGGGGGUGGGGAUUUAGCUCAGCAGCACAGUGCCUGCCUUGCAAGCACAAGGUCCCGAGUUUGAUUCCUGGUACCAAAAAUAAAAAUAAAAAUAAAAAUAACAAAAUAAA